ACAACGAACCAGCGCCUAUCAUCAGGUAUUUCAUCACUUUUUGUGUGCUUGCUAUUUUUUGACACAUGUUUCUUUGAGGUAUACUUACUGGAUUCAUAAGUAGUAAAUUAGUUUUCUAUUAAUUGCUUUCCUCUCACUGUUUCUCUGUAUAAUGAAUAUAUUUUGCUAAUUGCCUUAUACUAAAAUUAAUUAGAAUGUACUUGUACUUGGUUCUUGUUCUGAACAAUAUAUAUCCUUCUUGUAACCUAGUUUUGAUUUUUAAUAGAUAAGUUUUGAUUUUUAAGAGAUAAUUGUUUACUGCCAGCACGAUUUGAUUGCUGGAGAUCUGUUGUGAAGUUCUCAUUUCUUUGCACCUCUGAACACAGCCAAAGAUCUGCUGUUGCUAGAGCUGAGCCAGAUGUAGGACUAGGACACCAUUGAUCUUCUACAAGCCUGAGCUUGUAAGACAAGGAUCUUAUUUCUUGCUCUUCGGUGAUGGAUUUUGAUUGCAGUUCUAGCUAGCUAGUAUAUUAGAUUUUUUCAUAGAUUUUUAGAUCUAUAGAAAGAGUGGAACUUA
rnacentral:lncRNA from 1 species